rnacentral:lncRNA from 1 species
ACUAGACUGACCCGACUGAAACCUCUGCUGAGAUCUAUCAUAAGACUCUCGGGGUCUGAAACGGCGCCUAUCAUAGCUAUCCUCCUGUCUAGCUCUCUUGCCGCUGCCCCCUUGGGCCUCGCGACGGAGCUGCUCGAUAGUGCGGGCAUGGUCCACUACAUCCAGAAAUGAGCGGCCCGCUGAGACUAAAGACUGAGUCUCAAUCCGCAACUGUAGUCUCAAACCCCGAACAAAACAACGAACCCUCUCCCCCUUCAGUAGGUAAUAUCAUGGCGGCAUGCCUGGAGAGCUCGUGGAAUCGGGCCUCAUACUCUGAUACUGUCAUGGAGCCCUGCUGUAACCGAGGAAACUGAUCUCUGAGCUGAUCUCUGAUGCUCCUGGGAAUAAAUCGGGCCAAGAAGGCCUCUGAAAACUCCGUCCAUGUGACCGGUGGAGACCCAGCUGGCCUGGUCUCUAAGUAUGUACGCCACCACUGCCUGGCGGGAC